AUCUUCUGCUGGAGACCUACAUAAGGACAUUGGAAGAAAGCAGAUGCUCUCUUCUUUGCCUGCUUGCCUUGUGAGAUUGAGCAACUGCUAGAUCCUUGGACUUCCAUUCACAGCCG
rnacentral:miRNA from 14 species